AGUGAACGCUGGCGGUAUGCCUAACACAUGCAAGUCGAACGGCAGCACAGUAAGAGCUUGCUCUUACGGGUGGCGAGUGGCGGACGGGUGAGGAAUACAUCGGAAUCUACUUUUUCGUGGGGGAUAACGUAGGGAAACUUACGCUAAUACCGCAUACGACCUACGGGUGAAAGCAGGGGAUCUUCGGACCUUGCGCGAUUGAAUGAGCCGAUGUCGGAUUAGCUAGUUGGCGGGGUAAAGGCCCACCAAGGCGACGAUCCGUAGCUGGUCUGAGAGGAUGAUCAGCCACACUGGAACUGAGACACGGUCCAGACUCCUACGGGAGGCAGCAGUGGGGAAUAUUGGACAAUGGGCGCAAGCCUGAUCCAGCCAUACCGAGUGGGUGAAGAAGGCCUUCGGGUUGUAAAGCCCUUUUGUUGGGAAAGAAAAGCAGCAGGUUAAUACCCCGCUGUUCUGACGGUACCCAAAGAAUAAGCACCGGCUAACUUCGUG
rnacentral:rRNA from 1 species